UACGUUUUAGUAUAGGAUGUACAAAAAUUUUUGAAAUUUUUAGGAUCAGUUUAAUUCUGAUAAAUGUAA
rnacentral:tRNA from 1 species